CAGCACCUCAAGCGGUCAGGAUGAUUAUUGGGCCUAAAGCAUCCGUAGCCGGCUCUGUAAGUUUUCGGUUAAAUCUGUACGCUCAACGUACAGGCUGCCGGGAAUACUACAAAGCUAGGGAGUGGGAGAGGUAGGCGGUACUCGGUAGGAAGGGGUAAAAUCCUUUGAUCUAUUGAUGACCACCUGUGGCGAAGGCGGUCUACCAGAACACGUCCGACGGUGAGGGAUGAAAGCUGGGGGAGCAAACCGGAUUAGAGACCCGAGUAGUCC
rnacentral:rRNA from 1 species